CCUAAUGGAGAUUUGAAAGCUGUGUGCAAUCAUUGCAAGAAUGAGUAUGCAUGGUAUUCUCACUCGCAUGGAACAAGUGGGUUGAGAAGACAUCGGCGGAGAUGUAAAAUGUACAAGCUCUGAUAUGCACUAGAAAUUGGAUCAAGGGAUACGAAUCUUACGCACAUGAUGAAGAAAUCGAUGGUGAUGGUGAAGAAGAGAAAUUACCAUCAUUUGAGUCUAUCUUCAAUGGGGAAGAUGAAGAUGAUCAAGUUUGAUUUGGUGUUUUGCUUUAUAUUGAUUUGGUGUUUUGCUUUAUUAAAAUAUGGGAUUUCUUGUGUUUUGCUUUAUCACAUUGGUGUUUUGGUUAAGAUAACAUGAAAGAGAUUUUGCUAUUAUCAAGUCAGCAACAAGAGCUGUAUGAAGUUGACCUACGGGUUCAUGUUAUGUUUUUUUUUUAUUUUGGCUUGAUGUUUGAGUUCAUGUUCUAACAUUUAGAUAAUAUACGCAUAUAACAUGUUGCAAUGAAAUAUAUACCAACACAACGAUAAAGAAAACGUUACAAAUAGGACAA